CACGUAGGGUGCGAGCGUUGUCCGGAAUUAUUGGGCGUAAAGAGCUCGUAGGCGGUCUGUCACGUCGGCUGUGAAAACCCGGGGCUCAACCCCGGGCCUGCAGUCGAUACGGGCAGACUAGAGUGCGGUAGGGGAGACUGGAAUUCCUGGUGUAGCGGUGAAAUGCGCAGAUAUCAGGAGGAACACCGGUGGCGAAGGCGGGUCGCUGGGCCGAUACUGACGCUGAGGAGCGAAAGCGUGGGGAGCGAACAGG
rnacentral:rRNA from 1 species